UUUUUCUUGCUUGUUUUCCAUGCUCUGUGCAUUAGUUGCCCCUCUACUAAUGUGUAGAGCAUGGGAAACAAGCAAGACGAAUGC